rnacentral:rRNA from 1 species
UGGGGAAUAUUGUACAAUGGAGGGAACGUCUGAUACAGCAAUGCCGCGUGAGUGAUGAAGGUUUUAGGAUCGUAAAGCUCUGUCUUUGGGGAUGAACAAAUGACAGUACCCAAGGAGGAAGCUCCGGCUAACUACGUGCCAGCAGCCGCGGUAAUACGUAGGGAGCAAGCGUUGUCCGGAAUUACUGGGCGUAAAGGGCACGCAGGCGGCUUGGUCAGUCAGAUGUGAAAGUUUGCAGCUUAACUGUAAAAGUGCAUUUGAUACUGCCAGGCUUGAGUCUCGGAGAGGUAAGCGGAAUUCCUAGUGUAGUAGUGAAAUGCGUAGAGAUUAGGAAGAACACCGGCGGCGAAGGCGGCUUACUGGACGAGUACUGACGCUCAGGUGCGAAAGCGUGGGGAGCAAACAGGAUUAGAUACCCUGGUAGU